UACAGAGGGUGCGAGCGUUAAUCGGAAUUACUGGGCGUAAAGCGCACGUAGGUGGCGACGUAAGUCGGGUGUGAAAGCCCCGGGCUCAACCCGGGAAUUGCAUUCGAGACUGCAUUGCUGGAGUACGGAAGAGGAGGGCGGAAUUCCCGGUGUAGCGGUGAAAUGCGUAGAUAUCUGGAGGAACACCGGUGGCGAAGGCGGCAUCCUGGACCGAGAUUGACGCUGAGGCGCGAAAGCCAGGGGAGCAAACAGG
rnacentral:rRNA from 1 species